GAUUAACGCUGGCGGCGUGCCUAACACAUGCAAGUCGAACGAGGUAGCAAUACCUAGUGGCAGACGGGUGAGUAACGCGUGGUCAACCUACCGUUGAGUGGGGGAUAACUAGCCGAAAGGUUAGCUAAUACCGCAUACGUCUCCGAGUGGCAUCACUUGGCGAUAAAAGGAGCAAUCCGCUCGAUGACGGGACCGCGUCCCAUUAGUCUAGAUGGUGGGGUAACGGCCUACCANGGCACCGAUGGGUAGCUGGUUUGAGAGAGCGACCAGCCACACUGGGACUGAGAAACGGCCCAGACUCCUACGGGAGGCAGCAGUGAGGAAUUUUCCGCAAUGGGCGCAAGCCUGACGGAGCGACGCCGCGUGUGGGAAGAAGGCCUUC
rnacentral:rRNA from 1 species